UACGUAGGGGGCGAGCGUUGUCCGGAAUUAUUGGGCGUAAAGAGCGUGUAGGCGGCCAGGUAGGUCUGCUGUGAAAACUCGAGGCUCAACCUCGAGACGUCGGCGGAAACCAUCUGGCUAGAGUCCGGAAGAGGAGAGUGGAAUUCCUGGUGUAGCGGUGAAAUGCGCAGAUAUCAGGAAGAACACCCGUGGCGAAGGCGGCUCUCUGGGACGGUACUGACGCUGAGACGCGAAAGCGUGGGGAGCGAACAGG
rnacentral:rRNA from 1 species